AAGCGCCAAAAGUCGGAACUCUCGCAGGCUUGCCUGCAAGAGAGUUCCAGACUUUUGGCGCGCCCCGCAUGGAGCACGAAGCGGUACGAAGGUAGCGCGGGAGUGCGGAGUGCGGUAGCGUUGUGUGAGCGCGGAGCGCGAAACAACGCGA
rnacentral:sRNA from 1 species